rnacentral:sRNA from 1 species
GGGUGAGGUCGGUGCGCGGUGGCGUCACGGCGCCAGCUCCUCCCGACGCCGAGAUUUGGUAACUCGAGGCGUCCCUGGAGUACACUGAGGAUAAGUGUUUGAGAAAUGCUGUCUGAAGGAAUGAAGUCAGUCUAUGACAACGUCUCUCUGCCGUGAAUCAUUCCUGCAGAUGAAAAAGUGUGACUUGGCAGCUGAGGAGCCACCAGUGGUGCAGGAGCAGUUGGGGUCCAUUUCGAGCCGCGGUAAGGCUGGAGAUCUCAAGCGAUAACGGAGAGACAGCAAGGCGCACGUGGACGGCGUGUUCACCAAUUACCAAACUUUUUGACCUGAGCAACUAGAAGAAUGGAGUUGCCAUUAUUUGACACAAAGAAGACUGCAGGAGGGACAAGUUUGAGUAGAAAUAUGAAGAGCUCACCCAAGUGGAUGUGAGACAGGAUCUCACUCUGUCACCCAGGCUGGAGUGCACUGGCGUGAUCAUAGCUCACUGCAACCUCAAACUCCUGGGCUCGAGCGAUCCUCCCACCUCAGUCUCCUGAGUAGCUGUGACUACGGCUCACUGCAGCCUCCACCUCCCAGGUUCAAGCGAUUCUCCUGCCUCAGCCUCCCGAGUAGCUGGGAUUAUAGGCACCCGCCACCAUGCCCAGCUAAUUUUUGUAUUGUUAGUAGAGACGGGGUUUCACCAUGUUGGUCAGGCUGGGGGAGUUUUCUAUUAUUUAUUUCUUGUUUAAUUUUGGUAUAGCCAGAGAACAUGCUUUAUGUGGUUUUAUUAAAAAUUGUUAGUUUAUUUUAUGACCCAGAAUAUGAUCUAUCUGGGUAUAUGUUCUGUGGGCACUUGGAAAGAAUAUGUAUUCUGUUGUUCUUGGGUAGAGUGUUUUUUGUAAAUGUCCAUUAUAUUACACCAGUUGAUAACGUUAUCCAGGUUUGAUAUAUCCUUUUUGAUUUCCAUCUAUUUGUUUAUCAGUUAUUGAGAAUGGACUUAUUGAGUCUCCCAGUUAUGACUGUGGAUUUUUCCAUAUCUCUUUUAGUUCUAUCAAUUUUUGCUUCAUUUAUUUUGGAUCUUUGUUAGUUGCAUAUUAUAUUUCAGUGUUUAUCUUCUUGGUGAAUUGACCCUUUUAUCAUUAUGUAAUUUCCCUAUAUUUAUAUCUUUAUAUUUAAAAUAGGUUUCCUUAACAUUUGAGAAGUAAAAAUAAAAUAAAAUAUAAUAGCAU